rnacentral:tRNA from 1 species
AUAGGUAGGCUUAGUGGUCAAAGCACUUGGACAGUAUCCAAGAGGCGCAGCUUCAAAUUCCACUACGUUUA